AUGUUCAGAUUAGCCAUGCAUGUCUAAGAUAAACCCCAGAAUGGUGAAUCUGCGAAUGGCUCAUUAAAUCAGUUAUUGUUUAUUUGAUGGUACCUUACUACAUGGAUAACCGUAGUAAUUCUAGAGCUAAUACAUGCGUCAAGCCCCGACUUCGGAAGGGGUGCAUUUAUUAGAUUCAAACCAUCAGUCCUUCACGGGACUUUUGAUGGCGAGUCAUAAUAACUGAGCGAAUCGAAUGACCCUGUGUCGUCGAUGCUUCAUUCAAAUUUCUGCCCUAUCAGCUUUCGAUGGUAGGAUCUUGGCCUACCAUGGCUAUAACGGGUAACGGGGAAUUAGGGUUCGGUUCCGGAGAGGGAGCUUGAGAAAUGGCUACCACAUCUAAGGAUGGCAGCAGGCGCGCAAAUUACCCAAUCCCGACACGGGGAGGUAGUGACAAUAAAUAACAAUGCUGGACUAUUUUAGUCCGGCAAUUGGAAUGAGAGUAAUUUAAACCAAUUCUC
rnacentral:rRNA from 1 species